GAGGCACAGGGGGAUAGGUUAACCUGGAUGCCCAUCGGUUGGGGAGUCUGAAGGAAGGAGGCAAGACACACACUUCAAGCCAGGAGCCAGCCCAGAUCCAAAGUGAAACCUGGAUAACAGGAUGUUGAAUAGGCUUUUCCUGCUACCCCACAAUUUUACCUACAGUCCCAAAGCAGAGGACUCGGAGAUUACCCACAGAGCUUACUAAAAAGUAGACAAACUGUCCUUCAAUGCUUAUCUCCAGCCAGCCAACAGAAGCCAAAAACUGAAGUUUACUAUGGAGAGAUCUAUAAAGGGAGACAGGAAGUUUGGAGUUCUGGCAGCCAUCCUGGACCAUAACAUGAAGUGCUUAAAGACGGCAGCAUAGAAAUAUACAAGAAGCCCAGAUCCUUGAUGAUCAUGGAGCCACCAUGGACUGCUUACCCCUGGACUUCAUUUACAUGAAAGAAAAUAAAACCUUAUGUGUUUAAACCAC
rnacentral:lncRNA from 1 species